rnacentral:tRNA from 1 species
GGGCUUGUGGUUUAGGGGUAUAACGUCUGCUUCGCAUGCUGAAGGUCCUGGGUUCGAUUCCCAGCAAGUCCA